UCCUCCUACAAACCUAUAACAUCAUAUUCACCCCCUUUUUCCUCCCAUCCCUUGGCGAAACUCGUUUUCUGCUGGGAUCGAAAUUUCCCCCUAUCCAGACUCUUCACCGAAACCCUUAUCGCUUCACCCCGCUUCUCAGAACUAAGACCCCCUCUCCAUUCCGAUUCUGUGGCGAAACUAGUUUUCAGCCUGAAUCAAACCCCUUUUCUUAAUUCCUAGGCGAAACCCGUUUUCUGCCGGUACUGAGAUCUCCCUACCAUUCCGAUUCUGUGGCGAAAUCAGUUUUCAGCCGGAAUCAAUACCCUUGUUACGUAUACAGAAACUCUCCGUUUUUAGAAGCUCGCGUUCAUUAAUCUUAUUGUAUCUACCAUUCUGGAAUUUGGAGCUCGGUCUCACUGGAGUGCAUCCUGCAGCUGCAUCCUCUUAAUAUCAUCUUUGACUCGCGUUGCGUAGGAUACUGUCUAAUCUACCCUUUUCCCAAGGCACACAGCUGCCCACCUCGGAGCAACGAAAAUCCUAACCGUCAGAUUUCCAACUAUGGAAAUCACCGACGGAUCCCCACCAACAUUUAGGGGUAUAUAAACCCACGAUUUUCGUUGCUCGGGGGCUAGUACGAAAGAGUUACUCGUUAGAGACACAUUGAUCGUCUGUAGAGUAGCACUCUAGUGAGAUCGUGCUUCAGUUCCUUUCGAUCAUCGUUACCAUAUAGAUCCGCGAAGACGGUUUUAAAAUCUAUUACGGCCAUAAAAGUACUCUUGACCCCCGCAUCGCCAGUGCGUCAACACCGCGCAACACUUAGGUAAUCUUAACUUCAUACACUAACCGCGACAACACGACACUGCACACUUGUAAUUAGUAUAGUUAUUUUUGAAUAUAUACUUUUUGUGUAAACUUACAAGUCUGUAAGAUCAAUCAUCAUACCUUUACUUUGAAAUCACCAAUCCUAGCCAGUGUAACGAUUCCACAACGAAAUAACUUUACCGCUCGAGUUAUUAUUCUAUUAAAUUAACAAGUUGCGAGGCUUUAUUAACGACGCGUGUUACAUUUUAACGAUACGAUUUAGUCAUUGUGUACUCAACCCGAACUCCUAAACUUAACCUAUCCUGCGGUUACCCUUUACUGGGAGAUACCGAUUCCUGCUAGCUAUCUGACUUCGCGCCAGAGUCGCUGCAUUUUUUCCAACAAUCUCACAGUUCGAACAUUACUCUACGGUUACCCUUCACUGGGAGAUACCAAUUCCCAGCAGCUACCUGACUUCGCGUCAGAGGCGUCUGCGUUUGUCUCCAAUAACCAAGACAACCAAAUACGUUAACCUACGGUUACCCUUUACUUGGAGAUACCGAUUCCUGCAACUAUCUGACUUCGCGUCAGAUUCGUCUGCAUUAUCUACUCUAUCCUCAAAUCUUCGGCUCCAUUGAUACAUACUAAUUAAUCGUAUCGUGAAAUGUGUGUGGGAGGGGAGAUUUGCUGUUCCAGAAUUUUUUUUGUCCAUCUGACAAAGAGUGGGGGGUAUUAUAUAAAAAUGUCUAAACGCAUUUUUUUCAAUCACUGUUCGCAACAUCGUUCUAUCGCCUCGUAUUGAAACAUCAGCGAUGUGGUCCAAUGCUGAAAUCGCUCGAGCAACGUGAGUGAAUCUUCCGAACAAGAAGUUCAACCAACCAUUAACAAAGAAAUUGUGCACACAUGAUAGCGAUAAUGUUCAUUCGGAAUGUGGAGUAUUACGCGUGGUGCGUAUACUGGGGAGGAGAUAUCCCCUGACGGAUACAUUCUACAAAUAUCUCGACAUCGGGGUUGGAAUCGGUGGUUCCUGCGACGUAGAGCUGGCUAUAGGAGACUCGUGGAAACGAAAUUAAUUUUCCUAUGGAUACGUGGAAAGAUCUACUACAAAAAAGGUAUAACA